GCUUCGCUAAUCCAUCCAGUUCCAACCUCGCUCGACACUGUCACUUCUGCCUCGCUCGGGUGUCGCUGCUUUCUCUGCGUGCUCUACAGGCGGCAAACAAUAUUUUAGUGCCUUGUUUACUUCUAAAAAAUUUUGCAAAAUAGAAAUAGUAGCACUUUCGUUUGUAUUUGACAAAUAUUAUCCAAUUAUAGACUAACUAGGCUCAAAAGAUUCAUCUCGUCAAUUCCGACCAAACUGUGUAAUUAGUUUUUAUUUUUAUUUAAAUUUAAUACUCUAUGUAUACGUCUAAAAAUUCAAUGUAACGGAGAAUCUAAAAAAAAUGGUGCAAAAUUUUUAGGAACUAAACAAGCCAAGCCAAGGCGAUUAGGCGAGACCACGCAAGAGAGAGGGGGGGGGGGGGGGGGGGGGGGUACCGUACCGGCUUUAUCUGUGCAACUUGUCCACCACGGUUGCCGCGUGCACAUUACUAUUUGUUGUAGUUGUACGCCGAGGCCCCCCUGGUCCGUCAAGAGCCGUGCCCGGCCGCGUCUCUGUCCGUGACGUGCGUGUCGUCCGCAUGGAGUCCAUCUGUUGGUGACGAGGCACGGCCAGGAACCGGUGGAUCUGCCGCCCCAGCGCCAGGCUUGUGUUGUGUCUCAUGCGCGUGCCGAAUUGCUCGUCAAAUUUGGGUGCAUGCAUAUUUAUGUACUAGAUGAGCGUAAUCGUAGUACGAAUCUGCUGUCCUGCCUGCGCGGCGCUCAUCAAUUUUGGACGUACUAAUAAGCAGCUGGCACAUAGUAGCUCAGCAGCAUGCAAUGGUACUGACGAUACUGCUAAGAGUGACAGUCCGGCCCAUGGCUUACUCCACAAAUCAGUGUGCUACGACAUCACUACUACACUACUAUCUACACCGUCUCUUGGGUUUAUUUUGUUUGCUACUCCGAUCCUAUCAGUUGCCGACCAUCUAUCCUGCUGACGACGAUCGAACCGGCGAGCCGUACUUCCACCGGCCACGCCCCACGCGCCAUGCAUCUCUCCUCCGACCUCCCGUCCUCUCCUUGGGCCGGCCGUCGCCGGUGCCCCUGCCCGGUGUCGUAGCCGAGAAAACCGGGCGAAACGAGCAACAUUCCCCUGAAUUCUGAGGCCUCCCGAGCCGGGCGCCCAGGCCGGCUAAUUGUGGAGUACUACGCGGGCGCCGUCCAGAGAUUCCGAUGGCCUGGCUGAGCUGGACUCACAUCGUUGGCUCGCUAAGCAAUGGCGUUUUGUUUGGUUUCGACGCCAAUGUGUUGCACAUGCCCGAACUUCACGCCCUUGUGUGUACUCCGUA
rnacentral:lncRNA from 1 species